UUUAUCAAGGAAUUAUUUCAUAGUGUUUAAAAGAUAAAGAAGAUCCAUGUUUGCCCAUUGAUUCAUUUUUUUACAUGUGACCAUGUACAUUAAGGGCAUGCACAUGUACAUACACACAGGGAGGCUGGGGAACAACUCAUCUCCUUACAUUAUUUCUUUAAUUUAUAGAUUAUAUUAUGUUCUACCCCAUUUCUUUAUACCAAACUCUCUCAUAAACUACUUCUGCUCCUUUUUUAAAUGUAUAGCCUCUUUUUUUAUUAAUUGUUGUUGCACAUACAGAGAGACAAACAGACAGACAGACAGACAGACACAAAUAUGUGUGUAUGUGUACAUAUAUGAAGUGUUUAUACUGUGUAUGUGUAGAUAUAAUCCUAUUUGUAGAAAUAUGACCUGCUCAGUUAUUUAAUGUUACUUUUAUGCACUGUUUUUAGGAAGUCCCAAGAGAAACAUUUGCAAAAACAUUCCAGCAAUUAUGGUUCAGGUAUCAUUGACGAGAACAGGCAGGGAAAGAUUAUGAGACAGAGGAUCAGCGAGUUUUCUUUGAGACUGUGUUUUCUAGCAAUUUUAUAAGCUGCACCCAGAAACUCAAAUCAACGUAAGUGCCCAAACAUGAUCUGAACAAAGGCAACAUUAAUACACAUCUAAUGUGGAUAGAGGACAGUUUAUGAAGCCUCAACCCUACACAAAAAAACUAUUUACAAGUAAGGAAUGCUGAAAAUGAAAGUAGUCUUCUCCAGGGAAAAAGCACCCUAUUUGAUUAACCUAUAUAUUGUGGUUUUUGAUAGUCUUCCACUGGUGCUUCUCAAGUCUGUACAUUGGCUUGUUAAGUGAACCCUGGAUAUCUGCCUGUUUCCAUUUCCCAGCACUAAAAAUACAAGCACAAAGUAUCAUGCUGUGCUCUCUUUACUUAGGCUCUGAGAUUCAAACUCAGGGCUCCGUGCUUGAAAAGUGAUUACUUUACAUACUAAGACAUUUCCUCUGCACCAGUAUUGGUAAUUUGUUAAAUAUAAAUAUGCAUAGCUAUAUAGCUCUGCAAAAGGUAGUCCUGCCUAAUUUGUGGUGUCACACAUAAUUUCUGAGAAUGGAUAAUCAAUAAUAGAGACCUGACUUCUCCUGAUUUGGGGGCUGAGAACACUUUCUAGUGUGCUCUCAGAUGGCAGAACGCAGACAAAGAGGAACACCCUCCCCCCAUCACCCCUCACAAGGGCAGGCAUCCACUUACAAUAAGUGGGAAACACUGAUCAAAGAACUCAGAGCUUUGAUAGAUCCAUAGUAUCCAAUAUAAUACAUACUAAAAAAGCCAACUGAUUCUCAGCUACACAUUAUAAAAUGGGUUUUCCUUUUCCUUGAAGUUUAGUUAGGUAAAUGUCACAAGAUAAAUUACAGAACGCUAAAAUACAGUAGCAUUUGUAGAUAAAACAAAAUGGACCAGGAAAUGAGACAAGAAAGAAAUAACCUAAAGUGAGGAAAUCUAAGGAAACAGAAAAUAACUCCAUGAAAAUAAGCAGGGAAAUACAGUUUUGGAAGGAAGAAAGAGUUGAAUAUAUCAAAUGUCUUGACAGAGGUUGCAUGAAGUGGUGUGACAAGGUUUCAUGGGCUUGAAAAGUGGUCAGCAACCAUUGAGUAGCAAGAGCUUCAAUGGAGUGCUGAAACUAAGUCACAAUCAAAUGAAUCACAAUGAGUGGAAGAAAGAAAUUCAAAACCUACAGUGAGACCAAUGUUCAGGAUUAUGUUUCAUUUGGAGUAGGGAAUACAGGAUCAAAGAAAUAAGCAGCAACAGGAAGACAACAUGGUGUCCAUGCAGGGAUACUUGAUUCUUUGCAGGAAGUAGGGGAUGUUGGUUUCAAUUUUAGAGAAUGAAAUCUAAGAUGGCUCCUUUAAAUAUUAUAGUUAUAUUGAUUGAUUGAAACUAUUGGUUAUAUUGAUUGAUUGAUAUCUCAAUACUUGAUCUUCUAAUCUCUGAACAUGCCCUUUCCUGAAUAAUACCAUUGUUUUCUGAACCAAUAAAUUGAGACUGAUAAGUCUGUAUUUUCAGCAAACUUUUCAGGUAACCCAUGUGUACAUUGUAGUGGGAGUGGUUAAUGACAUCAUAGAUAAUGAUUAUGCACUCAAAACUCAAAUUCUCAUAUUAAAUUUUACAUUAAUAUCCUAAUUAUUCAAAACAUUUGCAAGAAAACUUGUAUAUAUACUGGCCUUUGGGUAUGUUAAAUGCAGUAGGGAUUUACCUCACUCUGAAUAAGGAAAACAUGGUGCUAACCAGUUUCAAUACAAUGACACUCAACAUCAGGACCAAUAAGAGUUUCCUGAGAUAUAGUUAUAUCUCAUCAUUAAGAAUGCUUUUCUGAGGAACACAGCUACCAGAGGAUAAGUUCUCUUUUAAAUGGGAAAGUCAGUCUUUCACUUGCAGAUAUUGGAGAGUGACAAUUGUCAGACUACACACCUUUCUUGGUGGCAACUAUCUCUUUCUUGAUCUCAAUGUAUCUGACAAAUUACAAACUUCAUCAGUUUCUCCACAACCUCUAAACUUGAUUUGCAUAUUCUUGGCAUUUUUGUAAGUGCUUAUAUAUUUCUCUGCUCAAUCAUCUUCUACAACUCUUACUUUUUAAAUUGGUCUUUUUUUUAUUUGUUAAAUAAGAUUGGUAAGUCCAAUCUGCAAGGUCUAAAUUAUACCUCAUUGAUACAAUUUGUUAUAUUCCUUCUGUAACAUUCAGUUCAUUCUCCUGAAAAAAUGAAUUAUUAAAGGUACCUCAUAAAGUAAAGGGUAAAUAAUUAGAUUAUUUGUUAACUGUUUAAAUGAGAUAAAUAUGUAAGACACGGUCUCCAUGUCCUUUGGUAAUUCAUAGUAAAGUGAUAAUGAAUUACCUGCAUAUUAUAAUCUUACUAUUUUCAUUUUAUUUAUUUUAGUGGUAUGGAGGUUUGAACGUAGGACCUCAUACAUAAGAUGGAAAUUCUCAACUACAGAGAUUCACACCACAGACCCUACAAUUUCAUUGUUAUAUAUCUGACUAAAUGUCUAAAAAUCUAUACUAAUGAAAUUGUCUCAAAGAGUUAGGUUUGCUGAAAGCCUAUAAUUUUCUCUAAGCUCAGUGCCUCCAAAUUAAUUAAAGCAUCAGUAAGCUUUCACUGUGCAAAGAAAAAUAAUCCUCUUAAUCUUGGGUUAAUUACAUGCAAUAACUGGAAUUCUGCCUUUUGCCCUCUGAGUUUUCUGCUUCCUAAAUUUUAGUAAAAGUGUAUUAGAUGGCUUUAAUUGUUUAUGCAACUUUAUCUUUAUUCUCAAAUUAAAAUAACUGUGGGAGCAUAAAUUGUGAGGACUGUUAUACGAAUACAAAAUUUCCUACAUGUAAUAAUAAAGCUAUUUGUGUAAGCAUCAUG
rnacentral:lncRNA from 1 species